GAUGAAGAACGUAGCGAAAUGCGAUAAGUAGUGUGAAUUGCAGAAUUCAGUGAAUCAUCGAAUCUUUGAACGCACAUUGCGCCCUUUGGUAUUCCUUAGGGCAUGCCUGUUCGAGCGUCAUUUAAACCUUCAAGCUAAGCUUGGUGUUGGGUGACUGUCCGCUUCACUGCGGACUCGCCUCAAAAUUAUUGGCGGCCGGUACAUUGGCUUCGAGCGCAGCAGAAACGCGAACUCGGGCCCGUCGUAUUGGCUCCCAGAAGCUAUCUUCACAAUUUUGACCUCGGAUCAGGUAGGGAUACCCGCUGAACUUAAGCAUAACAAUAAGCGGAGGA
rnacentral:misc_RNA from 1 species